GCCUUCGUAGCUCAGUCGGUGGUUCAUCAGACUUUUAAUCUGAGGGUCGUGGGUUGGAGUCCUACAAAAGGCG
rnacentral:tRNA from 1 species